GGCCGUCUAGCUCAGUUGGUUAGAGCGUCGUGCUAAUAUAAGCCGUGUUCGCAUAGUUGUAUUACGCGAAGGUCUUGGGUUCGACCCCCACGAUGGCCA